rnacentral:tRNA from 1 species
GCCCCUAUGGUGUAGUCCGGCCAAUCAUCUUCGGUUCUCGACCGAAGGACCUGAGUUCAAAUCUCAGUGGGGGCA